rnacentral:rRNA from 1 species
GGCAUCGUCUGGUUUUGAAAGAAUAUCGGAGACGGAUGGGCAUGCGGCGCAUUAGCUAGUUGGCGGGGUAACGGCCCACCAAGGCGACGAUGCGUAGGGGUUCUGAGAGGAAGGUCCCCCACACUGGUACUGAGACACGGACCAGACUCCUACGGGAGGCAGCAGUGAGGAAUAUUGGUCAAUGGGCGAGAGCCUGAACCAGCCAAGUCGCGUGAGGGAGUACUGCCCUAUGGGUUGUAAACCUCUUUUGUCGGGGAGCAAAAGCCGGACGUGUCCGUCUGUGAGAGUACCCGAAGAAAAAGCAUCGGCUAACUCCGUGCCAGCAGCCGCGGUAAUACGGAGGAUGCGAGCGUUAUCCGGAUUUAUUGGGUUUAAAGGGUGCGCAGGCGGAUUUUUAAGUCAGCGGUCAAAUCGUGGGGCUCAACCCCAUCCAGCCGUUGAAACUGGGGAUCUAGAGUGUGCGAGAGGUAUGCGGAAUGCGUGGUGUAGCGGUGAAAUGCAUAGAUAUCACGCAGAACCCCGAUUGCGAAGGCAGCAUACCGGUGCACAACUGACGCUCAGGCACGAAAGCGUGGGUAUCGAACAGGAUUAGAUACCCUGGUAGUCCACGCAGUAAACGAU